CCUGCUCUUGUUUACAUUGCUGGUUUACACUGUUUUUCCAAGCCAUCACAGCUGAUAUCUCCUGGUGCUAUUCCCAAACUGCCACUCUUAACUCUUGAAGUAAAUAAAUAAUCUUUGCUGGCAGGACUAUGCUGAAUCUCCUUAGGCACUCUCUAAUCAGAUAUCCUGAGUCGUCCCAAUUCUUAGACCUUUUAUACCUGUUUUUCUCCUUCUGUUAUUCCAUUUAGUUUCUCAAUUCAUCCAAAACCGUAUCUAGGCCAUCACCAAUCAUUCUCUCUCCAUACCACCCCCCAAAAAUUUUUGCUGCCCCAACACUUCAACACUAUUUUAUUUUAUUUUUCUUAUUAAUAUAAGAAGGCAGGAAUGUCAGGCCUCUGAGCCCAAGCCAAGCCAUCGCAUCCCCUGUGACUUGCACGUAUACGCCCAGAUGGCCUGAAGUAACUGAAGUAUCACAAAAGAAGUGAAUAUGCCUUGCCCCACCUUAACUGAUGACAUUCCACCACAAAAGAAGUGUAAAUGGCCGGUCCUUGCCUUAAGUGUUGACAUUACCUUGUG
rnacentral:lncRNA from 1 species